rnacentral:lncRNA from 1 species
CACCCCUUCCAAAUUAACAAUAAUAUUCCUUAAUCACCUCACAUAUCCAGUCAUUGUUUUAGUUUUCCCAAUUGAGCCAAGAUCAUGCUGCUGCACUCCAGCCUGGGCUACUGGAGUGAGACCCUGUCUCAAAGAAACAAUGAAGAAUUACUGACGGUUUAGGUUGUAGAUGUCUUUUACUGGCUUUGACCUCUAUCAUCAAAGAAUAUCUAGAAUAGAGCGCCUUGAAUAUAGUGUGUACUGUAGAAACUUCACUGACUCUUAAAAAUAAUUUAUUUCAGUUGCUUAAAUGGAAUUCUUAAGUUUCACAAAAACUUUUGAAAAUAAAACAUCUGUUUAUCAUAUAAAAAACAUUUCAACAAUGCACAUCUUUUUUUUUUUUUUUUUUUAAGACGGAGUCUCGCUCUGUUGCUCAGGCUGGAGUGCAGUGGCGUGAUCUCGGUUCACUGCAAACUCUGCCUCCCGGGUUCACGCCAUUCUCCUGCCUCAGCCUCCCGAGUAGCUGGGACUACAGGUGCCCGCCACCAUGCCUGGCCAAUUUUUUUUGUAUUUUUAGUAGAGACGGAGUUUCACCAUGUUAGCCAGGAUGGUCUCGAUCUCCUGACCUUGUGAUCCGCCUGCCU